UACGGGGGGAGCAAGCGUUGUUCGGAUUUACUGGGCGUAAAGGGCGCGUAGGCGGUCAGCACAAGUCAGUUGUGAAAUCUCCGGGCUUAACUCGGAAAGGUCAACUGAUACUGUGCGACUAGAGUGCAGAAGGGGCAACUGGAAUUCUCGGUGUAGCGGUGAAAUGCGUAGAUAUCGAGAGGAACACCUGCGGCGAAGGCAGCUCGCUGGGACGGUACUGACGCUGAGACGCGAAAGCGUGGGGAGCGAACAGG
rnacentral:rRNA from 1 species